GAUGAACGCUAGCGGCAGGCUUAACACAUGCAGGUCGAGGGGUAGAGUUAGCUUGCUAACUUGAGACCGGCGCACGGGUGCGUAACGCGUAUGCAAUCUACCUUGUACAGAGGGAUAGCCCAGAGAAAUUUGGAUUAAUACCUCAUAGUAUUAUUGAAUGGCAUCAUUUGAUUAUUAAAGUUCCAACGGUACAAGAUGAGCAUGCGUCCCAUUAGCUAGAUGGUAAGGUAACGGCUUACCAUGGCAACGAUGGGUAGGGGUCCUGAGAGGGAGAUCCCCCACACUGGUACUGAGACACGGACCAGACUCCUACGGGAGGCAGCAGUGAGGAAUAUUGGUCAAUGGGCGCAAGCCUGAACCAGCCAUGCCGCGUGCAGGAAGACGGUCCUAUGGAUUGUAAACUGCUUUUAUACGGGAAGAAACCCUGCUACGUGUAGCAGCUUGACGGUACCGUAAGAAUAAGCAUCGGCUAACUCCGUGCCAGCAGCCGCCGCAG
rnacentral:rRNA from 1 species